rnacentral:rRNA from 1 species
UUAGUGGCGGACGGGUGAGUAACGCGUGAAUAACCUGCCCUGUACCGGGGGACAACAGUUGGAAACGGCUGCUAAUACCGCAUAAGCGCACGGUUCCGCAUGGAACAGUGUGAAAAACUCCGGUGGUACAGGAUGGAUUCGCGUCUGAUUAGCCAGUUGGUGGGGUAACGGCCUACCAAAGCAACGAUCAGUAGCCGGCCUGAGAGGGUGAACGGCCACAUUGGGACUGAGACACGGCCCAAACUCCUACGGGAGGCAGCAGUGGGGAAUAUUGCACAAUGGGGGAAACCCUGAUGCAGCGACGCCGCGUGAGUGAAGAAGUUAUUCGUAACGUAAAGCUCUAUCAGCAGGGAAGAAAAUGACGGUACCUGACUAAGAAGCCCCGGCUAACUACGUGCCAGCAGCCGCGGUAAUACGUAGGGGGCAAGCGUUAUCCGGAUUUACUGGGUGUAAAGGGAGCGUAGACGGCACAGCAAGUCUGAUGUGAAAGCCCGGGGCCCAACCCCGGAACUGCAUUGGAAACUGCUGGGCUUGAGUGCAGGAGAGGUAAGCGAAAUUUCUAGUGUAGCGGUGAAAUGCGUA